UAACACAUGAUUGUUUUUAAAAUUUUUAUCUGUUUAAAAACUUGCUUUGUUUUUAUUCUCAUUACUUUCUGUUUUCUGAAUUUAGCUUAAGGAAAACACAGAGCAAUCUUUUCAAAUUUAUUUUUUCCUUUGUAUACAUUUAAAAGGGAGUUUUAAAAGGUCUGGAUAGCUUGGUCAUAAAGAGGAGAUAUUCCCAUUACAAUCCAAACACAAGCUGUUGUCCACAUGGCAUGGAAUACUUAGAGAACUCAAUAAUUUUCUUUCUCUUUACAUUUCUACUACUUAAACAAAAUAAUAGAAACUGAUUUAUUUCUUCCUUUAUCUGGUGAUGGAAACCACUCUAUGGAAAACCUGGGAAUGGUCAGCACUAUGUUUUCCACUAUGUGGAAGUAACGGGAAAUGAAACUGAUUUAUAUGGAGAAGAAGAGACAAGAGAUGGAGAAGAUUACUGGUGAUUUUAGGGUUCCCGAAGACCAUCUACAUGUGUCCUAUUCCUGUUGCUUGACUUGAAAUUUUUCUGAUUCCAGGAAACAAAAAUUCUCCUUUUUGGCAAAGCUAUUAUUUUGGGUGGGAUUCUGUAAGGUGCAAGUGGCAAAAAUGUAGCUACAAUUAGCUUAAGUAAAAAGAGGGAAUUAAGGAGAGAUCCUUAGGUAACUCACAGAAUUAAAUGAAUAGUUGAUCAACUGAGCUUUAGCAAGGCAGAAGCAGGCACUUUAGAAGGGACUCAGAACCUAGGGCCAAGACUUAGGUGCUGCUGCAGCACACUUCCCUCAUGUGGCCUUUGCUACUUUUCUUUCUGGACACUGUGCCCUCUACAGAGGAAUACUUUGAUUACCUUAUGUGAUUCCACCAGUACUUUCUUUUAUUUACCCUGUAACCCUCAUCUACUCAUUGGCAUUUUUAUGUGCAUUGCCACAGAAGGAGAUGUUACAGCACACUGUGUUUUGAAUCUCAAAAGCACAGACUAGGAUUGAAUUCAGGCUCUCAAGAUUAAGAGAGCUAUCCCACGUUAGCAGGAAAAGGAAGGCCAAAAGGGGAAAAAAGACAGCUGAGUUGGUACUGUGUCCGGAAUUGGUGGAUUCUUGGUCUCGCUGACUUCAAGAAUGAAGCUGCAGUUCUUAAAGUAUGGUGUGUCCAGUGUUUGUUCCUUCAGAUGUUCAGAUGUGUCUGGAGUUGCUUCCUUCUGGUGGGUUCGUGGUCUCACUGACUUCAGGAGUGAAGCUGCAGACCUUCACGGUGAGUGUUACAGUUCUUAAAGGUGGCACGUCUGGAGUUGUUCGUUCCUUCUGGUGGGUUCAUGGUCUCGCUGGCCUCAGGAGUGAAGCUGCAGACCUUCGCGGUGAGUGUUACAGUUCAUAAAGGUGGCACAUAUGGGGUUGUUUGUCCCUCCCAGUGGGUUCGUGGUCUUGCUGGCUUCAGGAGUGAAGCUGCACACCUUUGCACUGAGUGUUACAGCUCAUAAAGGCAGCGCAGACCCAGAGAGUGAGCAGCAACAAGAUUUACUGUGACAAGCAAACGAACAAUGCGUGGAAGGGGACCCCAGCGGGUUGCUGCUGACGGCUUGGGUGGCCUGCUUUUAUUCCCUUAUUUGGCCCCACCCACAUCCUGCUGAUUGGUGCAUUUUGACAGAGUGCUGAUUGGUGCAUUUACAAAUCUUUGGCUAGACACAGAGUACUGAUUGGUGCAUUUACAAUCCUUUAGCUAGAUACAGAAGUUCUUCAAGUCCCCUACCUGAUUAGCUAAACACAGAGUGUUGACUGGUGUGUUUACAAACCUUUAGCUAGACACAGAGCACUGAUUGGUGCAUUUACAAUCCUUUAGCUAGACAGAAAAGUUAUCCAAGUCCCCACCCAACCCAGAAGCCCAGCCAGCUUCACCUCUCAGUACCACUGGGAAAGGGGCCCUGCACCUAGUAGAUGAUACUAUCACUAGGCAACACAGCAGGCAUUUGUGUUUAUUGUUUUAAAUUGAAUUUGCUUUAUAAUGUCAAGUACAGCCAAUCUAUAAUUGAAACAAAAACUUGGAAGUACUCUGUGAAAUUCAUAUCCGAGAACUGAACCCUCUGGGGGAGGAGCAAUAGACACUCCCACCGCACCCAACCCUGGGUAACAGAGUGAGACCCUGUCUCACAAAACAUAACACAAAACAAAACACUUAUUUUAGCAUUGUUUUAGAUCUGAAGAAAAAUGGCAAAGAUAGUACAGAAAGUUCCCGAGUACUGUACACCCAGUUUCCCCUAUUAUUAACAAUCUUACAUUCUUUCUGUCACAUUUCUGACAAAUAGUAACAUCUGCUUAAAUACUUCCAGCGACGGGCAACCCAGUAUGUCCUAAAGAGUCCCAUCAUCAGAUGAUUUUGGAGCAGUGUGACUUGAGAUGUGGUUCUAGGACCAGCAGCAUCUGCACAACCUGGAAUCCAGUUAGAAAUGAAGGGUCUCAGACCCCAAUCCAGACCUGAAUCAGAAUCUACAUUCAACAGGAUCUCCAGAUUUGCCAGUUCACCCUGACCAUCUUGAAAAUAAGUUGUCUCUGAUCUCUGUCUGUAUGUUACUUCUCUCCCCUCACCAAUGGAGAACACAUGUGGGCAAAGUCAGGUGACAUACUUGGGCAGUCAUCAUAUUCCAACUCAGUGGCCACACGACUGGUGCAGGGAUGGACCUGUAACCCACAAAGAAGAGAAGAAGGCACAGACACAGAGGAGAAGGCAUGUGAAGAUGAAGGCAGAGACUGGAGUUAUGUGGUCACAAGCCAAGGAAUUCCUGAAGCCACCAGAUGCAAGGAAGGAUUUUCCCCUAGAGCCUUGGGAGCCAGUACAGACCUGCUGAAACUUUGAUUUUGGAAUUUUAGUCUCCAGAGCAAUAAGAGAAUACAUCUCUGUCUGAGCGUCAAGUCUGUCGUAAUUUGUUACAGCAGACCUAGGAAACUAAUGUGUUAGUUAGUACUGAUUAUUUAAUUAAAGACUCUUUUUAUAUUGUUUUGUUUUCUAAAUAAUCUGGAGAAACCUACCUCAAUUCUUGUCUCCAUCCAAUAGAGACACCUGUCUGUUUGUUGAGGUUUGGUGGAAAUCCAAGGGUUAGUGUUUCUGGGUUAUUUUUUGCCUACCACAGAUAGCAGUGAAAGCCCAUUUAGUACACAAAUAUGACAUUUCUGAAU